rnacentral:rRNA from 1 species
GGAAUAUUGCGCAAUGGGCGAAAGCCUGACGCAGCGACGCCGCGUGGGGGAUGAAGGUCUUCGGAUUGUAAACCCCUUUCCGGCGGGAAGCUGGGGCGGGGUAACCCGCUCGGCCGGUACCUCCAGAAGCAGCCCCGGCUAACUUCGUGCCCGCAGCCGCGGUAACACGAAGGUGGCAAGCGUUGUUCGGAUUUACUGGGCGUAAAGAGACCGUAGGCGGUGGGGUAAGUCCUGUGUGAAAGCGCUCGGCUCAACCGGGAAAGGACGCAGGAAACUGCCUCACUAGAGGACGGGAGAGGAGCGCGGAAUUCCCGGUGUAGCGGUGAAAUGCGUAGAGAUCGGGAGGAAGGCCGGUGGCGAAGGCGGCGCUCUGGAACGUACCUGACGCUGAGGGUCGAAAGCGUGGGGAGCA